UCCUACGGGGGGCAGCAGUGAGGAAUAUUGGUCAAUGGUCGGGAGACUGAACCAGCCAAGCCGCGUGAGGGAUGAAGGUACAGAGUAUCGUAAACCUCUUUUGUCAGGGAACAAAGGCGGGGACGUGUCCCCGGGUGAGUGUACCUGAAGAAAAAGCAUCGGCUAACUCCGUGCCAGCAGCCGCGGUAAUACGGAGGAUGCGAGCGUUAUCCGGAUUUAUUGGGUUUAAAGGGUGCGCAGGCGGUCUGUUAAGUCAGCGGUCAAAGCCCGGGGCUCAACCCCGGCCCGCCGUUGAAACUGGCAGU
rnacentral:rRNA from 1 species